rnacentral:sRNA from 1 species
GGCCCGGGCCACCAGGAAGAGCCUGCUGCAUGUCCCCUAUGGAGACGGCGAAGGGGAGAAAGUGGACAUUUACUUCCCCGACGAGUCAUCUGAAGCCUUGCCUUUCUUCCUGUUCUUUCACGGAGGAUACUGGCAGAGCGGAAGACCCUGUGUCAAGGAGAGUGGAAAGCCUCAUUUGAAGAGCUCCACGAUGUGGACCACUUUGAAAUCGUUGAGAAUCUGAUCCAGAAGGACAACGUGCUCACCCAGAUUAUCUUGAAAACAAUCUUCCAGUAGUUCUGACGGUACUUGGAGCCUGGUCCACGUGCAUCCCACCUUGGGAAGCCUCUCCAAAGAGCUUUCGGAGCUGACACUGACAGCUUCAGUUUCCCCCAGCACCCAGGAGAGCCUUGCUGUGUCUGUCUGCCCGGCAAGAGUCCAUUCUCACUGCCGGGACACUCAUGAAAAUCUCCAGGUCCUCCCUCUUCCCAGCCUGGAUGGAGCUCCAGGGCUGGGGAACGUCCGCAAGUCAAUGCUCGGAGAUGCCCGGAGCUGCCUCUUA